AAUCUAAAGGAAUCACCAGUAACUGGAAGUGACAGUGAGUCACUGGCAAGCCGGCCAGGAAUUAACGCGCACACGUACGUGCACGGACGGAUGGAGUCGCCCUUUGACCCUGCUUCACUCUGCUGGACCCGCCUUCCCAGCAGCCUCUCCAACACAGGGGUGAAAGUAAGCUGCAACGCAGUGGGAAGAGAGAUCCAGUCCUCUCCGGCCGGUACGCAGGAGUACACCUCGGAAGAGCAACUUUCACCCCUUCACACAACAGCCCCGCCCUCUGCCUGAGAGACAGGCAAAGCCCCGCCUUCAGGAAGCAACGGUGAGAACAGACCACAGCAGGCCAAAAAGAGAGAAAAAAGAGAGAAAAGCGGUGGAGAUGAAGAGGAUUUAAACAGAGGUGAACAUGAAUGCCAAAAAGGAAAAAGAUAUUUGAACUGAUAAUUUAGAAACAGCUGUGGAGUGAAGAAGCAGAGGAGCAAUUUGAAGAGCAACAAAAUAUGUUUCCAUCAACUGGUUGCCACCAAAAUAUCAAACUCAGCUGCAGUUAUGUUCUGCAGGGAUUUUUUUCCCCACGACGGCCUCACGAGUGCCAGAGGACGACUUCCAAAACUGAGAUGAUAGUUUGGAAUUCCAACUAAACCAUAUGUCAUUAAUGACUUCAGCACAAUAUUCACACAUUCAUGUAUUUUUUUGAAAAAUCACAGAUGAGCUUCAGUGAACAAAACCACAAACUUUAUAUUUUUGUGCAUCAAAAUGCACUGAGAAAUUAUAACAUUUUUAAAACAGAAAUGAGACUUUAGAGAUAAGAACUGGACCGCUCGCUGCCAGGAUCAGCUCAGUCCAAACAUAAAUGGUGUUUUGUUUGGCCGUAAAUAUACGGUGGUUGUGUCAUAGUGAAAUGACGCAUAUUAUUUGUA